AUACUUACCUGGAAGGGACGAUACCAUAACCAUGAAGGUGGUUUUCCCAGGGUGAAGCUUAUCCAUUGCGCUGCAGAUGCUCUGACCCCUCUGACGUCCCCAAAUUCAAGAAACUGCAUAAUUUGUGGUAGUGGGAGAUUACAUUUGAGCUCUCCCC
ensembl:snRNA U1 U1 spliceosomal RNA